GAUGAACGCUGGCGGCGUGCCUAAUACAUGCAAGUCGAGCGAACAGACGAGGAGCUUGCUCCUCUGACGUUAGCGGCGGACGGGUGAGUAACACGUGGAUAACCUACCUAUAAGACUGGGAUAACUUCGGGAAACCGGAGCUAAUACCGGAUAAUAUAUUGAACCGCAUGGUUCAAUAGUGAAAGACGGUUUUGCUGUCACUUAUAGAUGGAUCCGCGCCGCAUUAGCUAGUUGGUAAGGUAACGGCUUACCAAGGCAACGAGGCGUAGCCGACCUGAGAGGGUGAUCGGCCACACUGGAGCUGGGACGCGGUCCAGACUCCUACGGGAGGCAGCAGUAGGGAAUCUUCCGCAAUGGGCGAAAGCCUGACGGAGCAGCGCCGCGUGAGUGAUGAAGGUCUUCGGAUCGUAAAACUCUGUUAUUAGGGAAGAACAAAUGUGUAAGUAACUAUGCACGUCUUGACGGUACCUAAUCAGAAAGCCACGGCUAACUACGUG
rnacentral:rRNA from 1 species